CUUUAGCCCCGUAGCCUUGCUCUCUGACAUAUUCCCUUCAAGAGCUCUUGCUUCACAACUUCUUAGUAGCUGGAGAUAAACAUGGAAGCCUCCUCCAAUCCUGGCCCAAAUAUUUUGAUGAUAAAGUUUCGUAGACCAGAGGCCGGAUUGACGAUUUUACCCUUUUGAUGGGAAGAUAAUGGUGACCUUGACUUUGAAUGAUCCCUUUGGCUACAAAAAGAACAAAAAUCAAUGCAGCUGAUUUGGGUUUGGCUACACAUAAUCCAAUUUGGAUUGUACCUUGUCAACUGAACGCCAUCGCCUGUAACCCAAUUAGCUUGCACAAAUCACAGCGCUCCAAGGACUGGCCAGGGCAUUUAUUGUGCCCUUUGAUCUGCAAUCUGCAAAUGGAGACUCAAAUACCCAAGGCUGUAACUCAGUUUGAAUCCAAAGACCUGAAAACCAGGAGAGUCACUUUGCUGUUUAUGGGCAAGAGAAGAUGAUGUCACAGCUCAAAGAGACAGAGAGAGUUUGCCCUUUCCUUGGUCCUACUCAGUCUGUUAACAGAUUAGAUGGUGUCUAUGCACACUACUGAGGGCAUAUAUGCCCACAUAUAGGGCAUACCUGCUUGUAAACAGAUGAACUUUGAGGUUGGGAUAGAAAAACAAUUUGCCACUACAGGAAAAACAUCUGUGUAAAAACAAUAUUUGUUUUCACAUGCCUUAUUGACUUGAGGGUUCUCUUGGCCAAACAAAACCAUAGUCAAUGCCAGCCCUUGUCAUUCAGAAGCUGAUCUGAUACUAAAAAGAGAAUUUACUGUUGGUUAAUGGUAUUUACUAUUCAUGGAUGAUAGACCUUGGUAUUAUUUUAUAAAAUAUAAAACAUUGUACCAAGUAAAAACAAAUAAAGUAAUUCAAUAUUUUAUUAGAUCAAGUUCCUCCCGCAAAUCCUAAAAAAUAACAACAUCAAAUCUAGAAUCAUGUUAAAAUAGAGGCAAAAACAUGAACUGUUACUAAACCCAAACAAAACAAAGCAAAGGCA